rnacentral:lncRNA from 1 species
AGCUCCCUAAAUAUUGUUGGUGGUUGCUUUGUGGCUUCAUGCACUGGAGAAGACUGAGAGAAGGCAUAACUAAGUAUAAGUACAAGUUAACGGAUAACUUAAAAGGAAAUUCAUAAAGGAUUGAGGAAAAAAGUACUUAUUGAAGUGCUAUCAUCUUCCAUGAAGUGCAACAUCUCCUCAAUUAUUGGAUUAAACUGGGAAGUGGGAGUCAUCACCAUGGCUGGAGGAGGAGCAGCAGAAAAGUUAGGGACUGAAGAUUACCCAACCUGAUAAGCAAAUACCCUAACCUUAGCCUAGUAAAUGAGAAAAAUGGAUGUUAGUUUCGAAACUUCAAAAAUCAUAAGCUUAACCAGGAAUGAGAUAGAAGUAUGCCUUUGAGGGCUUGGCCCGACGAGGGAAAAAAUGUGCUGCUCGGGCUGGAGGAAAUGAAGGCUCGUGCUGGGAGAUCCUUUUGCCUCGGAUAUCCUAUUACAAGCAAAUAAGCAAAGAAUUAGCACAAGGGUCAAAGAAAGUGAACUUCAAAAAUAACUUCAUGCUUAAGAAAUAAAGGUCAUACCUUUAACUCCUCGAGGAUCGUGUCGAUGACCUCCUUGUCUUCCUGUCGUACUUCUGCGCCUGACUGCGAUCCUUGGGAAGUAGGGAUAGGUUUCUUAGUAGCAAGAGGCCAUAAUUACAAAAGAUGAGGAGUGUUAGUUCAAACUUGGGGAAAGUUGGAACUGAAAAAAGAAGACUAAGG